rnacentral:rRNA from 1 species
UACGUAGGGGGCAAGCGUUGUCCGGAAUCAUUGGGCGUAAAGAGCGUGUAGGCGGCCCGAUAAGUCCGCUGUGAAAGUCCAGGGCUCAACCCUGGGAUGCCGGUGGAUACUGUCGGGCUAGAGUGCGGAAGAGGCGAGUGGAAUUCCUGGUGUAGCGGUGAAAUGCGCAGAUAUCAGGAGGAACACCGAUUGCGAAGGCAGCUCGCUGGGACGUCACUGACGCUGAGACGCGAAAGCGUGGGGAGCAAACAGG